rnacentral:lncRNA from 1 species
GGAAUGCUUUUUGGUCGGACAACUGAGGUCUGCAUGCAUUGAUUGACCAAACCGAGGUGUCGUUGGAUAAUACUUUGUAAUCAUAUCUUAUUUUAAAAUUGGGCAGCUAACUUGGAAGGUAUAUUAGAAGCAGCCCAAACAGAUGAGGUUUUUAAGUGUUUGUUUGGGAGAAAUUCCAUGUACACAUAUCGGGAGUCGUUUGAAAAUGGACUAAAGAAUUGCAAUCACUUCUGCGAUGAAUUUUGCGACAGACUGGUGUCCCUAAACUUCCAGACUGAGUGAACAGGUUUGGUAAUGCUGGCGACACUGCUCUAGAGAUAGUUAACUGCUUUCCGGGUGAGAGUGUUUUUUCAUCUUUUUUAUUGUUUGGCAGCCACUAAAAUCUUAGGGUGACAACAUGACCCUUUUUUGAUGAAUAGGUUGAUUUAGGCAAAAAGAAUUCGCUAUACUGUUCAUAAUUUAAAGUUUAUAUUUUAUUUGUAAUUGUAAUGUAAUUGUAAUUUGGUUUGUAGCCUUUUGUUUAACUGAGAUUUUUUCUACUUCGAAUAAUGUUGAGCACGAAAAGUAUGAUGUCUUCUCCCAUUGCUAACAAUUAUUAUUUUAUUAUAACAGAAAAUUGAAGCAUCUCAAUCAGAUGAAUCACCAUCAAUUUUACAACUUAGUUAUAAGCUUGGUGUUCAUUCUCUUAAAUCUUAGUAGUCCCCAACCAGGACAUGUACUUAUUAUAUAAAGUUGUGUUUUUUUUUUAGUUUUACGGGUGCACACCAGCUGUUCAACGUUUUGCUUGUGUGAGUGAAUUGUUGGUUUUGGAUGAUGAUUGUUUGUUGUUUUGCUUGGGUGUUGGUGCAGUAACGUAAAGGUGGUUAAUAUAAUAAAUGAGAAUAAAGGGCGUAAGCAUACUAGCCCUUUGGCAAUUUGUGUUGGUGAUGUGAAGGACUGGUGGUUUGUUGUUACGGACCAUUUGCAUGUUGGCUUGGUUGAGGGUCUUCUUCCUAGGUCGGUGACUGUGGUGCUAACACGAGGUUUGGUUACCAAUUGUAGACUUUAUAUGGUUUUUUCAGAUUUUCAAUAGUUUUGGAUAUUUGACGUAGUGAUAGUCAUUAGCUGUUGAAACUUACUGAACCGACCAGCAAGUUGACUGGUUUGGCAUGUUUGAAGUUUUAACGGUUUACUAUUUGGAAAAGCGGGUAUAAUGGUUCCGUUCAUCAUAUGAAACUUGGCCCCGGAUAUGUAAAAUGAACCGACCGUUUUUUGGAUUAUAUAUUUGUGCAUACUGAUAAUGUUCAUGAAAACCAUCGUUAUCAUUUAAGAAAAAAUUAAUACAAAGUUACAAACUAAGGAUUUUGAUUUAGAAAGGCUGGUUCAAACCGCCACACUGAACCCUUUCUGAUGGCCUGGCUGACCCAACCAACCCACCCAAUUUGGUUUGUCGUUUUCAGAAACCGUAGUAGUUAGAGGUCUGCUCUAGAAUUUUCAUUAAAACCGGCUGAACGGGAUCACCUUUAAGCUGACGAAUAGUGAAGCAUUUUACUUACAACUAUGUGUUAAGUCAAGCGUUGCAACUAUGUGUUAAGUCAAGCCUUGCAACUAGGGGUAUUCGAGUCUAGCUAAACCCGAGCUUGCUUAACUCGUGAAAAAAAUAUGUAUAAGUUGUCAGCUUUUGCUGCCUUGCUUAUGGCACGUGACGGCAAUGUCUUCUCCAGGUACACAAACCCUGGCCGCUAGAGUAAAUGAUGAAGACUCCACUUCUUUAGAUUCAAAGAAAUCGGAACGAUUCAGGACGAUGAAAGAUGGUCUAAUUGAGGGACGAUUUGGGACCACAAAAGAUGGCCAAAUUAGGUCGUGGAAGGAAGGGAAAUGACAUAAUUCUCAUCAAAAGGUUGAUGAAAUUGUGGAUAGAUAUCGACAUAUGGUAUUGAGAUGCGGGUAAGUUUAGAGUUAAGAUAAAAGAAUUAGGGAGCAUUCUCUCAAUUUUUGGCUACGCAGGUAUGUAAAUUUAUAUCAAUCAUUGUUUGUUACUUAUAUUGAUUAUUGAUCUUUAUGUUGAGCAUUCUCUCAACUUUUGUUUUCACAAUUUAUAUUGUAGGUUUUUUUAUUAAGUUUCUUAUAUUAAUUAUUGAUUUUUAUAUAUUUUUAACCAAAAAAUAUCAUGACAAUUUGAAAUAAAAAGUUAUGAGUUGGGUCAAAAUCAAAAGUUAUACACUGGAUCAAUUCGAAAGGUAAAAAAACGUAAUACUUAAGGGGCACAGUUUUAGAAUUUCUUGGGGCCUCCAGAAGUCUUAAGUCAGCCUUGGUCAAAAAGUUAAUUAAGAUUGAGCAGGUAUGAUUAAUUAUGCUGAUAUGGUUUUGUAAGUUUUUUAUGAUGUCUUUACCAUUUCCUUAUAAAUAUUGUAGGCUCCAUCUUCAUUUCUACAAGCCAUGGAAAUAUAUGUAAAAGAACCACUCCGUGCUUCUAAUUUCGAAAAGACCUGGUACGGUGUUGUUGGAUGGCAUGACAUUAUUGAAGCCGAAUAUAUUUCGUUAAGAGAUGAUUGUUUUUUCAAUGGAUCUAAAACGAAUUCGAGGUUAUUG